rnacentral:rRNA from 1 species
UACAGGGGGGGCAAGCGUUGUUCGGAAUUACUGGGCGUAAAGGGCUCGUAGGUGGCCAACUAAGUCAGACGUGAAAUCCCUCAGCUUAACUGGGGAACUGCGUCUGAUACUGGAUGGCUUGAGUUUGGGAGAGGGAUGUGGAAUUCCAGGUGUAGCGGUGAAAUGCGUAGAUAUCUGGAGGAACACCGGUGGCGAAGGCGGCAUCCUGGACCAAUACUGACACUGAGGAGCGAAAGCCAGGGGAGCAAACGGG